CCCAUCAGAAACCACACCACACAUCUCAACACUCAACUCUGUCAGACAUGUUCAGACUUCAUCCACUGUUGUGGUUUUACUGAAGCUGUGAUCCGAUUGGCUCUCUCUGCUCUGGUGGGCGUGGCUUCUGUCGCUGUUCUGGUUUAUGACAUCAGAUCCCAAAGUCUUCAACAAGAGCAGACAUCACUGUCAAACUAAAUAAAAAGAUCAGGGAGGUGGAUAUGUUCUUGAAUACUUAUAUUUACUGUAAAUAUUUUAACACAAAAAUGUAUAUAUUUUUAGAUUUUAUACUCCCAUUUUUUUGUCAGUUGUCUAUAUCACUUUUCACAAUACAAGUCUUUCUAAAACAGCUUUUCAAAGAAUAUGCCUUACAACAUACACUGUGAUUAAUAAGAUAAUCAAUAAUAAUAAUUGUUGUUGUUGUUGUAAGAUAACUGCAGGCUCAUAGAUUCUCGCUCAGUGAGAAAGUGAUCUGUACAUCGCUAGUUUUCUGAAUAAAAGCUUGUGCUUGUUGACAAAUUGUUGGGUUUUACAAGAUGUAGCUUACAGUUUUUAAACUCCUUCCUCUUUUAUUAGUUUAUUAGAGUAUGAAAUAUAUAAUGAUAUUCAUAUCUCAAUUUUAUUACUCACUGUUAUAUUUAAGACAACAGAAUUAUGGGAUGCUAUUGUUUAAAGUAUUUUCUGUUCACACUAAAAGCAUCACCACAUUGGAAAUUAAAGAGAAACAAUGCAUAAAAGAGAGAAAAGAAAUUCAACAGGACAAAACAUUCACGAUAAUAUACAUUUACUAAAAAGCACAAAAUUACAUAUACAUGACAUUAAUCAUGGCUUAAAUAGAAAUCAUGUAAUUUGACUAGACAAAGUAUUGCUUAUAUUUGUUAGAAUAUUUAGUUUUAAGUUAGUAGACAUUUAUAUUUUCUAGUGUGGGUCAGGCAUACAUUUUAAAGAUGACUGUGCUUCCUUCUUAUGAAAUAAAACAAUAAAUAACUCAAAAGUGUUUCAGGGAUUGGCAUGUGUCUUUAAUUUAGCAAUUACUUGAAAUAAUAAGGGAUGAUAGAAGAAUUGAACCCAGAAGAAAUAUAAACAGCAUCAUAUAUAGUUUCAUUAUGUGUUAUUUUGCCCAAGACAGUUAAGCACAACCCGACACUGGUGCCUUUUUUUUUUUCUUUAAUACAUUAUAGGUUUUUAAGUCAUGUAUAAAGUCCACAUAAAACUUACCUAUGGAAAGUGUGGUGUGGUUCAAAUAUAAAACAUAUUUUUGUAAAUGUAUUGAGCUUAUUUUUAAAAUCACAUAGAUAAAGACAGUUGUUGUUGUUGUUAAAGAAAAUAUCAUUAGAAUCAGACCCUGACCAUUAAGAACCACUGCCCUAGAGUUUAUCUUUAUUAUAUAAAAUGUGAAAGUUUGCUUUCUCCUUUUCUUCUUGUUGUUAAUAAAACAUUUUUCAAAACAUACAUUUUUUCAAAUUCUUUCUAUGUAAAUCUAGCAGUCUAAAAUGCUAACCACUGAAAUAUUGUUAAUGAGGACAACUCAUCAGCCUAGAAUUGGAUGUCAAUAAUUUGACAAUUUCAUAAUAUGAAAUCAUUCACAAAAUCUUACAAAUCAACCAUUUAAAAUACUGAACUGGAGGGAGUGAGAAGAUCAGUCAGCAAUUCUUAUUAAACAUGUACAUCGACCAUUAUACCCCAUUAUGAUCUUUAAUUUUGUACAUACUAGAUAAAAAGCAAUGCAACAUAAAACUUAUCGACAGUAAGCUGAUCCCUGUUUUAUUUCAGAUAUGUUCAAAGUGCUUGUGUAAAUUCUGACACUACAGACAAAUAGACUUUGAUUUAUCACGUCCCGAGGUGUUCUAGGUAACCUUAAGCUGUUGCAGAACUGGUUAAUAAUACAAUUCAUUACUAAAAUAAUUGAUAUAUUGUAUGUGAAAAACAUAUGUAACAGGUCAUAUAGCCUACAGUCUGUGAAGGGAGGUGCUCUCUAGAGGAGUUUCUUCACGCUGACUGUAGAGUUUCACCAAACCUCUUCACAGCACUGUCCUCUACAGCUCCUCUGUCGCUUUCAGUGUUCACAUAUUUAUUAUAAGAUUUCUGUUGUGACUUCAUUUUCAAAAUUAGGAACUGUUUUUAUUUAAAACCGUGAAGCAAAAUGCAGAAGAAAAUAUAUGGCAUGUUUAUAAUCUCUUGUUUGUGCUUAUGGAGUCUGAGUGGUGUGUCUGGAGUUGAUUCAGUGAAGUCCGUGUCAGUGACGGAGGGAGAAUCAGUGAGUCUAAAUCUUACUGAAAUACAGAGAGACGAGGAGAUAACGUGGAAAUUUAACACCAUUAUGAUAGCUAAAACCUACGGGAAGGACAGUAAGAGCAGGUUUUAUGAAGGUAGUGCUGAUGGGAGAUUCAGAGACAGACUGAAGCUGGAUCAGACUGGAUCUCUGAUCAUCACAAACACCAGAACCACAGACUCUGGAGAAUAUACAGUAUUCAACAGAACAUCAGAGACUCCAUUCAACAUCUUCAGACUCACUGUC